rnacentral:tRNA from 1 species
GUUGAAGUAGCUCAAGUGGAAGAGUUUUUAAUUAUUAAUUACGAAAUUAAGGGUUCAAAUCUCAUUUUAAACA